UACGGAGGGUGCGAGCGUUGUCCGGAAUCACUGGGCGUAAAGGGCGCGUAGGCGGUCGGGGAAGUCCGUGGUGAAAACUCGAGGCUCAACCUCGAGACGUCGGUUGGAACCGUUUGGCUAGAGUCCGGAAGAGGAGAGUGGAAUUCCUGGUGUAGCGGUGAAAUGCGCAGAUAUCAGGAAGAACACCCGUGGCGAAGGCGGCUCUCUGGGACGGUACUGACGCUGAGACGCGAAAGCGUGGGGAGCGAACAGG
rnacentral:rRNA from 1 species